AACGAACGCUGGCGGCAUGCCUAACACAUGCAAGUCGAACGAGACCUUCGGGUCUAGUGGCGCACGGGUGCGUAACGCGUGGGAACCUGCCCUUAGGUUCGGAAUAACUCCCCGAAAGGGGUGCUAAUACCGGAUAAUGUCUUCGGACCAAAGAUUUAUCGCCUUUGGAUGGGCCCGCGUUGGAUUAGCUAGUUGGUAGGGUAAAAGCCUACCAAGGCGACGAUCCAUAGCUGGUCUGAGAGGAUGAUCAGCCACACUGGGACUGGGACACGGCCCAGACUCCUACGGGAGGCAGCAGUGGGGAAUAUAGAACAAUGGGCGAAAGGCUGAUCCUGCAAUGCCGCGUGAGUGAUGAAGGCCUUAGGGUUGUAAAGCUCUUUUACCCGGGAUGAUAAUGACAGUACCGAGAGAAUAAGCUCCGGCUAACUCCGUG
rnacentral:rRNA from 1 species